rnacentral:lncRNA from 1 species
CUUUGUUAUUCUUACUAGUAUGCCAAAAGAGAUAUGAUGAAUCGCAAAUGUAUUUUCAUAAAAUUGAGAAUGGAAAUGGGGAAUUUGCUUUUUAUGGAUAAAUUAAAAAAUAUAUAUAUAUAUAUCAGCUGUACAAUAUACACAGUAGCGCUGAGAUCUUGCAAUACAAUUUUUUUUUAAUAACUGUCAUUUUCAAUUCCUAAUCUAAUGGGUGAGCACUGAUUCUUGAAUACGUAUGAAAUGCCUUUCUUAGAAUCAAUGAUAUCUAAAUAUUCUUGAAGCAAUCUUUAAAUGAUAAAUAAAGUUGUCAGUGUUCAUCGAUCUGAUGAGUUCAACCCAUUUCAACUAAUUUUUACCCCCCACCCCCUUCUCCCCCCAAUGAUCCAAGUCAGUGUAACUGCAUGCAUGGUAGUUUAGUGGUUGUCUGUCAUAUUUGUUUUUCGUCAAUAGUUUUGUUGUAAUUCAUCAGUCCCACCUCUCCCCCAAACUAAUAUAAAAUAGGCAUGUCAUUCUAAAUUUUGAAAUGAGCUCAGGAUAUAAAACCAGUACAAACAUAUUGAGUGUCAUAUCUCAGACUAUGUCUGAUCGAUCUUUAUUGGAAUUGGUGUGUGCUGUCUCCGUAUUUCGUGGAUCCAAAUUCCCAAACAUAGUUCGUCCUAUUACUCAUCUUAUUUUUAGGACCUUGUUUUGUACUUUUGUCUUUUCAUUUUGACUGACGCUACUUUAUUUGCUAAUUCCGCGAAUUCAUUUUAAUAAAACUCAUAUGAUAGAUACAAGGGGUAGAAAAUGUUGCAACCGAAGAGGGCGGGUUGUGUUAUCCAACUCUGAUAUAUUUAUUUAUGUAGUUCAAAGUAGUGAAACAUCACUCCCCUGAUAUGCCAAAGGGGGAAACUGAAGAUCUAUAGCGAUAGUUCAAGACACAAAAAAACAACAGCGAACUAGAACUAGAACAGCACAGAAUGACAGUUGACAUGCAGUGGCGGAUCCAGCCGGGGGUAUUGGAUUCCCCUUGUUUUGGCCAAUCAAUGCAUUUGAAUGGGGACAUGUGAAUGGUUUGAUUCACCCCUGACACGUAAACGCCCAAAUUAAAAAAGGAAUAAAAUACGAAGUCCCGUGAAACGAAAGAGUGACGAGGGUAAGGACUGAGCAGUUGCAAUAAGUAUGUGUAUCAACUCAAAUAUACUGAGACUAAUAUACCGCUUGAGAAGAAUACUGGAAAUGAAGACGGACAACCACAAAUAUUAUAGGGAACCGAGUUGGAUCUUUUUAGAGAAAAUUUACCCCGUUCACUUAAGACAGAUUCAUUGUCGGAAUAAUGAGCUGUCCGGAUAAUGGGCUGUCGGAAUCAUGAGUGGGCUUUAUGAGAAAUGGGCUGUCGGAAUUAUGGUUGUCGGACUACUGGGAUGUCACCAAAUUUCCUAUAGCUUCAAAUUUUAUGUGUCUGUGUAUUUACGAAAAAAACAUUAAAAAGGGUUCAAAUUGUGUACUAUUUAAGACCCGAAACCAAUGCAUUCACAAGUUUGAUAAUUGUGUUCUAACAAUUACACUUUAUAAACCGAUAUCGUUCAUUUGUAUAUGUUCCAGACUAUAUGAGUAUUUGGACCGUACUCUUACGGUCCCGACCGUAUACGUAUAGUCGUACGGUCGGACCGUACGCGUAUGGUCCAGUACGAGCUGAUCUUACAUGUUAUUGGAUCAUCUGGGUUAAAUUUAAACAAACAUUUAUCACAA